AGAGACAAGGAAAUGCUGUCACCGCGGUUAACACGCACGUGGAGGGAAGACCUGGGUUUUAGUCCUGUCUCCAUCAACCUCAAGAAAUGGGACCUCAUGGAAGGGAGGGGAGGCAAUGCCGAGGAUGUGCUCCUGAGCAGGUGCCACAAUUCUUCACCUGUAAGGCUGAUCUAAGAAGAUUCCUAAUUAUCAAUUGAGAGCAGAGAUAUUCCACUUCCAAUUACAUGGCCUGCCUGCUCACUCUUACUUCCUAUUCACACUCUCUUGGAGACCACUUUGUGAUUCUACCAAAUUCUAUAGGAGAGGUGACAACCCCAAAGAGAAGGCUCUAGAAAGAUGACAUUUGGAAAUGUGUACGCUAGUGUCUGCUGGCUCCUCCUGAGCCAUUUUUACUCUGUGAAUGAGAUCAAAGGCCACCUAACUGCCUAAAUCACCACAAAGGGACAAACUGGUAUCUCAGAGCACUCAGCAACAAAAACAAGAAAGCUAAGCCUCUGCACUGCAAUGUGGCAGGGCUUCUGGCUAAGUAUAGCAAGCAAUUCUGAUGUGGAGACAAACAGCAGCAAUGGGAAUGAUAUGCCAAUGAAGGAUUCCAACAGUUGGGUCUGCAAGUGUGCUUGUCCUGUGACACAAACGGCCUAGACAUCUCAGCACUGCUUGGAGCUGCUCAUUGGGGGAGCCUAAGAAACAUCAGCCCUUUCACAACCUCUUGCUCCUGAGCAGAGCUCAUCUCCCAAGAGCACAUCAGCCCGCAGCCCAGUCUGAUGAGAAGCACAGUAUUCCCCUGUGCCAGUGGCAGCCUCAGAGCAUCCUGAAAGAGCGCUUCCUAGACACGCAGUGGAAGCCAUGACUUCCCCUAAGCUGCCGGUGCUGCCUCUGAACUCAUGUGGAGGUUCUUUUUUCAGUGUCCCC
ensembl:lncRNA SP2-AS1 SP2 antisense RNA 1